AACCGGAUUAGAUACCCUGGUAGUCCACGCUGUAAACGAUGUGAUUAGGUGGUUGUGCCCUUGAGGCGUGGCUUCCGGAGCUAACGUGUUAAAUCGACCGCCUGGGGAGUACGGCCGCAAGGUUAAAACUCAAAUGAAUUGACGGGGGCCCGCACAAGCCCCCCCAGCAUGUGGUUUAAUUCGAUGCAACGCGAAGAACCUUACCUACUCUUGACAUCCAGAGAACUUUCCAGAGAUGGAUUGGUGCCUUCGGGAACUCUGAGACAGGUGCUGCAUGGCCGUCGUCAGCUCGUGUUGUGAAAUGUUGGGUUAAGUCCCGCAACGAGCGCAACCCUUAUCCUUUGUUGCCAGCGGUUCGGCCGGGAACUCAAAGGAGACUGCCAGUGAUAAACUGGAGGAAGGUGGGGAUGACGUCCAGUCAUCAUGGCCCUUACGAGUACGGCUACACACGUGCUACAAUGGCGUAUACAAAGAGAAGCGACCUCGCGAGAGCAAGCGGACCUCAUAAAGUACGUCGUAGUCCGGACUGGAGUCUGCAACUCGACUCCAUGAAGUCGGAAUCGCUAGUAAUCGUAGAUCAGAAUGCUACGGUGAAUACGUUCCCGGGCCUUG
rnacentral:rRNA from 1 species